rnacentral:misc_RNA from 1 species
AGAGAGAGAGAGAGAGAACAAAGAGACAGAGAAAUGAAAUAAUUUGAAAAAGAGAAAAAAAAAACCCAAAGUUGAUUAGCACUGGCUUGCUCUUGCUUUGAAUCUGUCUAGUUUUCUGGCCUCUUUCUUCCUCAUGUGAAGAGAGGAAGAGGAAAAGAGGAUGAUGAAGAAGAAGAAGAAGAUAGAGGAUGAAGUAGAAGAGAGACAAUGUGAAAAUUAAAUCAUCUGGCUUGUCCUGUUACUGGAUUGACUUUUUCUUGCUGUUCCUGUUUGAUUUUCGCUUGUUUAUUCCCUGUUUUGAUCUGUGAAAUGGUUAGUUAAAUUAGGUGUUAUAUAUAAUAUAUAUAAAUUAUAUGCAUAUGUGAAAAGAUCAAGAGUGAUUGAACUUGUACCUUUGGCUUUGAAAAAACAAAAAGAAAGAUAAUUAAGGAAACAUAUAGCAUAAAGCUUUUUCUUUUUC